rnacentral:rRNA from 1 species
GGAGCAUGUGGUUUAAUUCGAAGCAACGCGAAGAACCUUACCAGGUCUUGACAUCCCGCUGACCGCCCAGGAGACUGGGCUUUCCCUUCGGGGACAGCGGUGACAGGUGGUGCAUGGUUGUCGUCAGCUCGUGUCGUGAGAUGUUGGGUUAAGUCCCGCAACGAGCGCAACCCUUGAUCUUAGUUGCCAGCAUUCAGUUGGGCACUCUAAGGUGACUGCCGGUGACAAACCGGAGGAAGGUGGGGAUGACGUCAAAUCAUCAUGCCCCUUAUGACCUGGGCUACACACGUGCUACAAUGGACGGUACAAAGGGCAGCCAACCCGCGAGGGGGAGCCAAUCCCGGAAAACCGUUCUCAGUUCGGAUUGCAGGCUGCAACUCGCCUGCAUGAAGCCGGAAUCGCUAGUAAUCGUGGAUCAGCAUGCCACGGUGAAUACGUUCCCGGGCCUUGUACACACCGCCCGUCACACCACGAGAGUUUGUAACACCCGAAGUCGGUGAGGUAACCGUUCGCGGAGCCAGCCGCCGAAGGUGGGACGGAUGAUUGGGGUGAAGUCGUAACAAGGUAACC